rnacentral:rRNA from 1 species
UACGGGGGGGGCAAGCGUUGUCCGGAAUCACUGGGCGUAAAGGGCGCGUAGGUGGUGACCUAAGCGUGCGGUGAAAGCCCGAGGCUCAACCUCGGGUCGGCCGUGCGAACUGGGUCACUGGAGCAGAAUAGAGGCAGGUGGAAUUCCGGGUGUAGCGGUGGAAUGCGUAGAGAUCGGGAGGAACACCGGUGGCGAAGGCGGCUCACUGGGCCGGUCCUGACGCUCAGGCGCGAAAGCCAGGGGAGCAAACGGG